rnacentral:rRNA from 1 species
AUGGAUUUGGUCUCUGGGAGAGUGAUUCAGGGGUGCUCGCCUUCCUGGAGAGGCAUCAAACCGCCGAGAUUUCCUCUCCUGCUUGGUUCUUGGGCUGCCGCCGGCAGCAGCGCGUUUCCUGGAUGCUCGUGCGCGCUAGCUGUUUGUAGAAAUGCCUCAGCGGUGGUGCCCUUUGCCAAGAAGAAGAGGAAGGGGUACAGUGUGGAGCCGCCUGAUGGAGAGGAAGAGAAAGAUGAUGUUCCUGAUGUGAUAGGGGGUGAGGUCGAGGAUGUUGAUGUCGAGGAGGAGGAGGUCGGCGAGGAGGACGCCGGCGAUGACGAUAUAGUGGAUGACGAUGACAGCGACAAUGAUGAUGACUAUGAUUUCGAAGAUGAAUUUGAGAGUGAUGAUGAACAAGACCUUUAUGUUGGAGAUGGAGGUGCUGGUGGUGGAGUGUCACUUGCUGGUACAUGGUGGGGCAAGGAAGCUUUGGCUUUGGCCGAGGAGGUUUCAGCUUCUUUCGAUGGCGACUUGAAGAUUUAUGCUUUCAAGGCAACUGCAAAUUUAGAAAUCAGAGUUCGCAUCGAGAAGAUGUCCACUAGGUAUGGUUCUCCGACUAUUGAUGACAUUGAAGCAUACACGAUUGCGUACCGUGCAAAGUUGGAUGAUGCAGAGUCAGCAGGCAGGAUACCAAAGAACGUAUCCUUGGAGGUGUCAUCCCCCGGUGUGGAGAGAGUCAUCCGUGUCCCGGACGACCUUGAACGCUUCAAAGAACGGUCGAUGUAUGUCAGAUACGUUAUGACAAGCGAGGAUGCAGCCACGACCCAGGAAGGCGACGGCGUGUUCAGGCUCAUUUCCUACGACGUGGACCUGUGUGAGUGCACCUGGGGCAUAGCCGAUGUGAAGAUAAACCGGCAGCAGACCGGAAAGGGCAGGCCUCUGAGCAAGAAGCAGAGAGAAUGGCGUCUGCAGACGCCGUUCGAGUCGCUGAAGUUGGUCAGGGUGUACUCAGAAUGUUGA